rnacentral:rRNA from 1 species
CCUACGGGUGGCAGCAGUGGGGAAUAUUGGGCAAUGGGCGCAAGCCUGACCCAGCAACGCCGCGUGAAGGAAGAAGGCUUUCGGGUUGUAAACCUCUUUUGCCGGGGAGCAGUGCCCAGCUCGUGAGCUGGGAGGGAGCGUACCCGGAGAAAAAGCAUCGGCUAACUCCGUGCCAGCAGCCGCGGUAAUACGGAGGAUGCGAGCGUUAUCCGGAUUUAUUGGGGUUAAAGGGUGCGUAGGCGGGCCUUCAGGCCGGCGGUAAAAUUGCGGGGCUCAACCCCGCCGAGCCGUCGGAACCGGGGGCCUUGAGUACCGGAGAAGUACGCGGAAUGCGUGGUGUAGCGGUGAAAUGCAUAGAUAUCACGCAGAACCCCGAUUGCGAAGGCAGCGUACCGGCCGGUCACUGACGCUGAGGCACGAAAGCGCGGGUAUCGAACAGGAUUAGAUACCCCGGUAGUC